rnacentral:misc_RNA from 1 species
AACGGUCUAUACCUGCGGUACCUGCGGAAGGAUCAUUAAAAAAAUGAAGCCGGCCAAAAGGUCGGCAUCAUAAUCCUUUAAUACCUAUGUGCACUUAUUGAACCUUUUUGCUUUGGCAGGAGAAAUCCUGCCAGAGGUAUCCCAUCAAAACCUGAAUGUUUUGACUGACCUUUAUUUCAAAUAAAAUUUUGAAUACAACUUUCAACAAUGGAUCUCU